GAUUCUUCAAAGGAGGAUCCUCUGCUUCUGGACCACAGUGGACCAUGGACUGAGAGAAAAAUGCUGAAAAUAUCAACAAGGACUUGGUGACUUUGGAGAUAAUAUCAAGCUGGUUAACAUAUAUGUACUUGGAGUUCCAAAAUAGGAGCAAGAAUUAUGAACAUAAAAAUGUAUAUUGAGUUCCUGGAAGUGGCUGAAGAGAACGUGCUGAAUUAGAAGAGAAGAACAUCCAGGACAUAUUCCUAACUAACAAUGAAGGAGGUAUUAGAGAUGUAAAAUAAAGGGAAACAUUUUGUGAAUUCUCGACAAAGAUGGGGACUAUAAAGGCAAAGUUAUUAGAAAAUUAAACAUUGAGAAAAUGCUAUAGUCAAAGAAAAGUUGGGAAAAAAAAACCCUGAAGCUUAAUACAUAGCUUCAAUAACAGUAAGGACCUGCACGCCCUCUUCACACAUGCCUCAUAAUGCAAAUAGUGUAUGUCCUCCUUGUAAGAGACAAGCAGUUAAUGAUUUCUUUAGAACAGAUAACAUCUAAGGAAGAACCAGACAUCUUGAUGCCAAGACCCUGGCUCUAAGGAAUAACACCUGGGACCUCAUCUUUGUUCUAACUGGUUCCUGGAUGCCUGAGAGGACACGUAUACCAGACCACAAUCCUCAAUAAGAACCCCCAGACUCCAAGCAAAAAUAAGGCUCUCUCUUUUCCUUUCCAAGUCUCCAGACACUCUGUACCUGCACUGUUUUCAUACCAUCAAUAAACUCUGCUUUCGC